rnacentral:rRNA from 1 species
GACGAACGCUGGCGGCGUGCUUAACACAUGCCAGUCGAACGGAAAGGCCCUGCUUUUGUGGGGUGCUCGAGUGGCGAACAGGUGAGUAACACGUGAGUAACCUGCCCUUGACUUUGGGAUAACUUCAGGAAACUGGGGCUAAUACCGGAUAGGAGCUCCUGCUGCAUGGUGGGGGUUGGAAAGUUUCGGCGGUUGGGGAUGGACUCGCGGCUUAUCAGCUUGUUGGUGGGGUAGUGGCUUACCAAGGCUUUGACGGGUAGCCGGCCUGAGAGGGUGACCGGCCACAUUGGGACUGAGAUACGGCCCAGACUCCUACGGGAGGCAGCAGUGGGGAAUAUUGCACAAUGGGCGGAAGCCUGAUGCAGCAACGCCGCGUGCGGGAUGACGGCCUUCGGGUUGUAAACCGCUUUCGCCUGUGACGAAGCGUGAGUGACGGUAAUGGGUAAAGAAGCACCGGCUAACUACGUG